rnacentral:lncRNA from 1 species
UUUGUCCAUUCUGAACACAUAUUGUGUCAUACCCUAAAUCCGAGUCAUAACAUAUGCUGCACACUUAUAAUAUAUAAUCUUAGAAAUAUGUAAGACAUUAAUUAUACUGAAAUUUUUUAUAAAAUUUGAAAAGUGGUAAGCCUCAAUUAUUAUUUAUUAAAAGUCAAUCGGUCAUGUACUUAAAAAUAAAGAUCUGAAACAAGAAUCUAAAUGAAAUACAUAAAACUCAUACAUAAACUUAAAGUCCCAAAUAAACAAUUUGAAAAUAGUCUCAAAUAUCUAAAUGUUGAAAACAUCCUUAAAAGUCUUGAAAAUAUGCAUUAAAAUUCUGAAAUAUUGCUCCUUAAAUUUUUGGCAUGCAUGACCAAAAUAAGAACCUGUAAAAAUGUAAAAAAAAAGUGAGUAAAUAAUCGAUAUCCCUUCGACUAGAUUAAAUAAUAUAAAAACAUUUAUGACAAAAUAACAAAAUAAUUCUUUUUUUAUAAAAUUUUGGGUUAUUAUAUAUUUGUAAGAAAUUUUGUUCCAAGAUGACAAAAUCAAACAACAUCAUAAAUUAAUUUAAAAAGUGUUUCCUUCAAUAAUCAUAACCACACUUAACUCUGGUGACGUAGAUCAGAAUUAUAACAAAACGACAUUUAACCCUAGUGGUAUGGGCAACACAUAUUAGAAGCGACUAAUGAUUGCAUAAAUCAAUAUCACAAAGACCAAUAUUCUAAACUAGAGGAUGGUUCAAAACUAGUUUUUAAUAGCAGAAUAUAUCUGGCAUUGUCGAAAAUUAACUUUUAUUGAUAGAAUCAGAAUAUGAUGUACCAAAACAUAGCGUACGAAGGAACAAUUCAAAACAAAUAAUUUUAGAUUACACAUAAUGAACAAUAAUAUCAUUUUCUUAUUUGCAAAAAACUUUUAAAAAUCAUAUAUACAUAUACAUAUACAUAUACAUAUACAUAUAUAUAUAUAUGUAUACUUCUUGCAAAACUAAAUUAAAUGAUAAAACCAUAGUCAUGGAGAUAAACAUAAUCAUUGAACAAAAUAAUUUUCAUGAUUGAAACAAAGAAACAUGUUUUUCAUGCUUAACUCGAUUUAACCAAAUAAGAGACGAAAUAUCAUUUAUAACUUAUAUAUUAAGCAAUUGUUUAAAGAUGAUUUUUAAAGAUAUAAAAAUCGAAAGAACGCCAAGUCACUUAUCUAAUUCACAAAUCAAUACUCAAGUAGAUCACACAAAUCUCAUAGUAUCUUAAUAAUUUAAGAUACUAUUCAAAUAUAAGAAAUUAACAUGAAAAUAUAAAGUUUAACAAAGCAAAACCUAUCCCUGGUGAUCUUAAGACAUUUAAGUUGUGUGGCACCCUCCGUAACAAACCAAAACUAAUUGGUACUCCUUCCAUCCCAAAUUGUUUAGGUAUUAUUUACUUUUAUGGAGUUUAAGAAAUUUUUUUUUAAUUUUAAUGUAUUUAAUAUUAAAUUUUAAACUAUUUUUAUAAAAUUAAAGAUUCAUGAUUUUUAAUGUCAAAAAAUAAAAAAUAAAAAAUAGUAAUUUUAAAAUAAAAAGUAAAAAUUUAAAUGUUCAAAAAAAGAAAGAGAUUAUAAUUUUGAAACAUCUAAAAAAAAGAUGGACGAAAAAAUGGGAGGAAAGGAGUAAUAUAAUUCUUGAUUAAAACAUUUUUCCUUAUUAUUAAGAAAAAUAUCUAAAACUAAGUGAAAUUGAAAAUUAAAAUUUAAAAACAUAAAAUCAGAUUCAAAUGUGAUUUUUGAUGAAAAUCUAAUCACAACAUUAAAUAAAUUUCAUAUUGUAAGCUCGUAGGUUUUUAAAAAAGCUACUUACAUGAAAAAAAGUUUCAUAAGAAUAUGUUUUUUACAAAGUUAAAAAUUCAAUAAAAUAAUAUAUCUGAAUUAACUUAAUUUAUAGCUAAUAAAUAGACAUAUUAAUUAACAUUCAAAAAAUCAUUUUUAAUAUAAUUAAAAAUAUAUUUUGUAAUUUUGAAAUUUCAACAUUUUUUAAUUAAUUGGCUUAUUUAGAGCCAUUAAAUCUUCCACAUCCCAUGGUGUUUACAAAAACAUAGAUUUAAAGUAGGAAUGCAAUAAUGUAACUUCGAAUUUUGUUUCGACAAAAAUGAUUUCAAGAAUCAUAAAUUUUAUGAGCAGAAUCUUUGCUAAAAUAAAAAAACUGCUCAAACUUUUAGAUUUUUGGAUUUUCAAAUUUAUUGAGCUUACUUUGGAGUUUUGAUUAUCUUAAUAUAUAUCUAAUUGAACUAAUUAUAUCACUAGAAAGAACAAAUUGUAAAAUAUCGAAAUCAAAUAGAAAUCGACCCAACCACCCACCAGAAGACAGUUUUGGUGACCCAAAUUUGAAUAUUCAAAUAUCCAAAAUCAACAAACUUGAAAUAUUCAACUUGCUUAAAUUAAUUAAUCAAAAGAAAUGUCAUACAUACCAAUAAAAAUAUCUUAAAAAGACCUUAUCAUAAGUAUCCACAAUUCCAUCGAAAUAUCAUUGAUAGUUUUGGAAAGUCGAAAAAGUGUAAAACAAGUGUUUGAGUUUUGUAAAAUAUUAUUCAAACUAUAAAAAUUUAAAGAGUUUUAACCAAAUUCUCACCUUAAUUAGUGUUUUCUCAAGAUCCAUUUGCCAUUCCUUUGCUUGUUUUCUGUUCUCUAGGUUAGUUUUUCCCUUUUCCCCAAUACUCUAUUUGUCAAAAGUAUAGAGAACAUAAAAUAAAAUUUAACUAAAAUAGACCCUUGUAAAGAAUAUUUUACACUAAUAAUCUUAUUGAGCCCAAAAUAUUAAUUAUGGCAAAGCAAGAAUUGAAAUUAAAAAUUUAAGAAAUAAAUUUUUUUGAAACAAUAUAAUCAUAAAAUACACUAAAAGCAUAUAAUAUAAAAUUUUAACCAUAUCCUAAUUUUUGUGAUAUUACAAAUGGUAUGGCCGGUAAAGGUUUGUGAAGUUCAUGGACUUCAUAAUUUUCUAUUUUUAUAGAUGUUAUAUUGGUAACAGACCCCAAUUUCAUUUCUAAGCACUUUUUUUUUUUUUUUUUUUUGUAAUGGCAUGUCAAUUAAACAAGCAAUCCUGAAGUGUUUCUCAUUUUUUUUCCUGUUAAAACCAUUGGAUCAAAAUGGAGUAAUGAAAAGCAAACUUAAAACAUCAAGAGAUUAAGAGGAGAAAAAUUACUUUGGUAUGAGAAGUUAAAACUCCAGGUGAAACUUUGAUAGCCGAGCUGUAACUGUACUGGUUGUUGUUGACGAGCAUAAUCCGUGUAGAGAAGAUUUAACCGAAAUUUAGAUGUUAAGUAUAUGUGAAGAAUGUGAAGUGCCUAUGUCAACAACUGUAUAACGUGUUGGCAGUGAGAAGGAUUCAAAUCUUGACAGUCUAAAAUAUAAGAAAAGGUGAAGUGCUUAUCAAAACAAUUUUAAAUCUGUAUUAAAGAUCAAACGAUGUUAUAACCUCUAG